GAAAAUGAGGAACAAAUACAAUGUGAAUCAAGACUUAAUGUUCUUGGAACCGUGUACCAAAUAUUGCUUAUUGAUAUUCUGAUUCCA
rnacentral:snoRNA from 11 species